CCGUGAGAAAAUAAUAACCAACUCUGAUGCGGGUUGCGUUCAUUUGUAAAUAUUUGUUAUCUUUAAAUUAGAGAUAGAUCCUAGUCGGUUAGGAAAUCAGUUGUAACAUGUUAUAAAUAGCUGCCUCGUAAGGCUUGUAAAAACAACACAUCAAUCAACACAAGAAAUCUACUUUUUCCUUGAACUUUACUUUCAAGUCGGCGACUUCGCCAAAAAC
rnacentral:lncRNA from 1 species